UCAUGUUGGCUUUGGCACAUUCCUUCUCUGUGGUGGUAGCUACAAAGCUAUAGCGAGUACUGAGUGCUCAGGCAGUAAUUUAUUAAUUUGGUGAGUAAAUUAUCAUUCAAUUCAAAUUUUAAAGUGGACUAAUUCUUUAACUGUAUAUUUUGUUCAGGAAAAGCAAACCAAGAUCAAAGAGACAGCCAAGAACCAGAUGCUUCAAAACCUGAAGGUUUCCCUUUCCAAAAAUAAGAACAAAAACACACAAGAUCAGCAUAAUAGUGAGGCAACUGAGGAGGAAUUUCCACAACAACUUUAUUGUCAAGCAAAGACUUUAAAGGCUGCCAGACCCAAAUCAUCCACUCCUGAUGAUUACACCAGUUCAGAUGAUGAUGCCACAGUCAUACGGAGUCCAAACCAACCUGACAUUGGUAGUGAUAUGGAUGAAGGAUUACCCGCAAUGCAGCACAAUGUAAAUG